rnacentral:rRNA from 1 species
UAAGGAAUAUUGGACAAUGGGCGGAAGCCUGAUCCAGCCAUGCCGCGUGAAGGACGAAGGCGCUCAGCGUUGUAAACUUCUUUUGGACGGGAACAAUAACCUCGACAAGUCGGGGCUUGAGGGUACCGUCAGAAUAAGCACCGGCUAACUCCGUGCCAGCAGCCGCGGUAAUACGGAGGGUGCAAGCGUUAUCCGGAAUCACUGGGUUUAAAGGGUGCGUAGGCGGUCUGAUAAGUCAGUUGUGAAAUCG